ACCAUGGUUUCUCCUAUCUCCUUUGUCCUCGGUCCGUUGAAUCAUUUGAGAUGACAUGCUACUGUGAACAUGGUGCAAGCUGAGGGUGGAGGAAGAAUGUAAAGGCAUUUCCUUCAAUACAUGUUUUGAGUGGAAAAUUCAUCUUGUUAUCUGCCUUCUAGAGGAUCAAAUUCGGCCAGCAAUAGCCCAACUUAAAUCAAGAGUGCUAAUAUUUUGAUAAUGAAAGAGACAUCCAUGCUGGGGAGCCAUCAGCUGUCUCUGCUGGGUAACCCGUCUUCAUGGUUUGCUUGGUGUCAUUCCUGACAUUUUCUAUGGAGACUUCCAGUUGUAAGAGCUUCAGGCUUCACGGAAUGGAUGACAGAGGGAACCGACUCCUGACUAUCAGCGCGCACCAGGGAAAACACAAGCAAUGAAUGUGUUCGCAACCUCUGUCACCUCCUAUUUGCUUUACAUUUACCAUUGGUUUUAAUAAAUAGGAGCCGGGUUCC